UACGGAGGGUGCAAGCGUUAUUCGGAAUUACUGGGCGUAAAGAGCGCGUAGGUGGCUCGCUAAGUCUAAUGUGGAAUCCCUGGACUCAAUCCAGGAAGUGCAUCGGAUACUGGCAGGCUAGAGUGUAGGAGAGGUAAGCGGAAUUCCAGGUGUAGAGGUGAAAUUCGUAGAUAUCUGGAGGAACAACAGAGGCGAAGGCGGCUUACUGGACUACAACUGACACUGAGGCGCGACAGCGUGGGGAGCAAACAGG
rnacentral:rRNA from 1 species